rnacentral:rRNA from 1 species
GGGGAAUAUUGGGCAAUGGGCGAAAGCCUGACCCAGCAACGCCGCGUGAUUGAAGAAGGUCUUCGGAUUGUAAAGAUCUGUCCUAUGGGAAGAAAAAAAUGACGGUACCAUAGGAGGAAGCCCCGGCUAACUACGUGCCAGCAGCCGCGGUAAUACGUAGGGGGCAAGCGUUGUCCGGAUUUACUGGGCGUAAAGGGUGCGUAGGCGGUAUUUUAAGUCAGAUGUGAAAUAUCCGAGCUUAACUCGGAGGGUGCAUUUGAAACUGGGAUACUUGAGUGCAGGAGAGGAAAGUGGAAUUCCUAGUGUAGCGGUGAAAUGCGUAGAUAUUAGGAGGAACACCAGUGGCGAAGGCGACUUUCUGGACUGUAACUGACGCUGAGGCACGAAAGCGUGGGGAGCAAAC